GAUGAACGCUGGCUGCGUGCCUAAUACAUGCAAGUCGAGCGAACGGACGAGAUUCUUUCUUCUCUGAUGUUAGCGGCCGACGGGCGAGUAACACAUGCAUAACCUACCUAUAAGACUGGGAUAACUUCGGGACACCGUAGCUAAUACCGGCUAAUAUUCUGCACCGCUUGGCUCAAACGUGUAAUACGGUCUUUCUGUCUCUUCUAGAUGGAUCCGCGCUGCAUUAGCUUGUUGGUAAGGUAACGGCUUACCAAGGCAACGAUGCAUAGCCGACCUGAGAGGGUGAUCAGCCACACUGGAACGGAGACACGGUCCAGACUACUACGGGAGGCAGCAGUAGGGAAUCUACCGCAAGGGGCGAAAGCCUGACGGAACAACGCCGCGUGAGGGAUGAAGGUCUUCGGAUAGUAAAACUCUGUUAUUAGGGAAGAACAUAUGUGUAAGUAACUGUGCACAUCUUGACGGUACCUAAUCAGAAAGCCACGGCUAACUACGUG
rnacentral:rRNA from 1 species